rnacentral:lncRNA from 1 species
CGCUGCCUGCGGGAGCACUGCAGGGAACCGGGGGCUGGGGCGCCCAUCCCGAGCACACCGUCGCCCGCUCUCCCCCGUAUYGGCCAUCCCCGUUUUGUUUUCCGUGCCGCAGCCGACCCGGGGGAUCUGGGCCACCUCCAGCCAGCAGCCGCCUCGCCCUCGGAGGGGCGGGAGGAGCAGGAGGCAAGGCUCGGCGGSGGAUCGGCAGCAGGGAUGUUCGGCGUCCCCGCAGAUUGCAAGUUUUGGAUCCAUUCAAGCCUUGAAGUCUUCUUACAGUUUACACCCAGAGAUGAUGAUAAGACAAAUAUUCUCAAAUGCAUCGAUGACCUCCAAAGUGGACCAAAAGCAUAAAAGGCCUACAGUCACUGGCUCAAGUCUUGUGAUGUGCUGUUUAUAA